CAUACGUAUACCGUAUACCGUAUACCAUACACCAUACUCAUACUAUAAGUAUAGCUGCUGAUUAAGGUAAGAAAUACAAAAUGGUUUCUGCUGCUGUUUCUGGUGGCUGUAGAAAUUUGAACAGCUUGUUGACCCAGCGAAGUCGGGGGCGCUGAUGGAGGAGGAGGAGAAGGGAGUCGGAGGCCCCUUCAACCUGGCUUAAUUAAGAACAAGUUGGCAAACAUGGCAGACAAUGAAAAUAGUUGGCCUUGCUUAUCGCGCCCUAUCAAUCGGGCGGGCACUUUCCCGCAGGACAACGACCACACAGUGUGUGCAACUAAAAUGACAGCCCAAAACUGGAAUGAUUACCUAAUGGGAAGCACACGCUAGUACUUCUUAUAUGGUCGUGGAAUUAAU
rnacentral:lncRNA from 1 species